GCUUACUCGGUCGUCUCUCCAGCCCUUUGAAUAUGCAAGAAAGGCAUCAAAACUCACGUACUGUGGGUCAGGAAACAGGCUCAGCAAGAUGGGUGGCACAAAGACAUCGACCAACCCUUGAGUAGCAGAUUUGGGAUUGCAAACCCACAUCUUCACAUUCAAGACCUGCUCAACGUCCCAGUGAAGGUCAUUCAAUGUCACUGCUUUCCUCCACCUUCGCCCCAUUGUGGGAUUCUGGUCUAGAAAAAUCCCACCCCGGGCCCCUCCCAUUGGAGGCUCCUGAUGGUGUUUAUAGACAGGGAAAGAAUGGGAGUUCUUCAGCUGCAAGGCUGGCAAUCAAUACCCAGAAACCCUCCCUCUGGAGGUGGCCGCCAGAGGAGGGGCUUUCACAGAUGUGGCCGCCAAAAGAGCUCAGGGCUGACGCCAGCCCCCACCAAGCCUGGGACGGGAUGCAUGGGGGACGCGAUGACAACCUAUCGUGUCUGUAGCUAGCUAAGGGCGUAAACACACAUGUUUCUUG